rnacentral:lncRNA from 1 species
GGAAGGCCAGGUACAGGAUGGGCAGGUAAAUAAAGCUUUGAAAGAUAGACAUAUUUCUGUUUCCAACAAAAUUGGGUUCUGUUGAUAAGAGCAGAGAACGGAUAUUUUGUGGGAGACUAGCGGUGUAUGCUACAGAACCCAUUUAACCUGAGGUCUCCAAAAUUUUAUAUUUUCAAUGUUCUGGCUCAUAAUUGACCUCAAUAUAUCUUAAAUAUAUUUUUAAAUAUUUAUGUAUUUUGAGAGAGAGGGUGAGCCAGCAAGCAAGUGGGGGAGGGACAGAGAGAGGGAGAGAGAAUCCCAAGCAGGCUCUGUGCCACCAGCAGAGAGCCCACCAUGGGGCUCAAUCUCUCACGUAUGCAUGUAUGUCACAAAUACGCAUCAGGAAUUUGUGACCACAUUUAUUUAUUAGGAUCCUAUCUAUAUAUUUUGAUGUUUUGGGGUUUCAAAAGUGUCAUCUCUGGGUUUUGAAUCAAAUUGAUUAAGACAGGUGGAGUCACAUUAUCUACUUUGUUAGUGGUAAACUACAUCAAAGAACAGUUUGGAUUGGAAGAUAAACUGGAAUGCCUUUCUUCUUUCAAGGUACACUUUAGGACAGGUUUACGGGAAAAAUUAAAUGCACAGAGCACACUUACCCAAUUUGUGAAUCAUACGCAAAACAGAAAGCCACAUGGUGUGGAGAACCUCCAUGCCUGCCUUUUAGCAGAUGUUCCUGGGGAAUGCCAAUACAACCCAGGAUUCCUUGGAAAGUGAGGUAAGCAAAAUGACCAAAGCUCUGUGACCCUUAAUAUUUUAUAAGCUCUGUUCUAUUUUCUGGGCUCAGGCAGGAAUGUGGAAAGAGACAGACAUGUUGCCCCUAUGUGAAAGAUAACUUUUAGGUUAGCAAUUUUCAUGAAUGUCCUGAGAGUUGUCAUUUUAUGAGAAUAUUUAGUAAAGAUUAGGAACCUGUGAUAAAAGUAUGAAUGGGAAACACAAGCAUAUUAUUUCUUAUUGAAAUAUAAUCCACAAUAAAUCCAAAAUAAAUAAUCAUCCAGAAAGACCUUGGUCUAAAUAAACAUGCUUCUCAAUGAAGUACAAUAUGUUCUUAGCAGAAUGUUUGCUUUUUCUCAGUUGGUUGCCAACAAAGCAUCUACACACAGAGAUUGUCAAUGUUACACAAAAAAUGUGUAAAUAUACAUAGAAGAUACACUCUGAAAGGGAAGAUUGCAGUUUAGUGGGUGGAAGAAACUAGAUCAGAGGUGAAGGUGACUGUGGUAAGAUGUAGAUAAGCAAGUGACAGAAGAUGAUCAAGAUAGAAGAUGUAAAGAAUUGGUCCCUGUGAUGGUUAAUUUUACAUGUCAACUUGAAUGGGUCACGGGAUGAACAUUAUUUCUGGGUGUAUCUAUGAAGGUGGUUUUUUUUUUGGAUGAGAUUAGCAACUGACUAAAGCAGAUUGCUCAGCCCAAUUUGUGUGGACAUCACCCAAGCCAUUGGGGGCCUGAAAAGAAGGUGGAGGAAGCCAGAAUUUACUCUUUCAGAUUGGGCUAAACAUAGGUCUUCUGCCCUCAGACUGGAACUUACACCACUGCUUUCCCAGUUCCCCAGCCUUUGGAUUUGGGCUCGCACCAGUGGUUCUCAGAACUUUGGGUUCAGAUUGUAACUACACCACUGGCUUUCUUGGGUCUGCAGCUUGCAGGCGGCUGUUGUUAGAACUUCUCAGCCUCCAUAACUGUGUGAGCCAAUUCAGUAAAAUAAAUCCCUUUUUAUGUGUAAGUAUCUCCUAUUGGUUCUGUUUCUUUGGAAAAUCCUAAUAAGGUUCCCCCAAAAGUUUAUUGGUUUCCUUUAACCUGCAAACACAUGAAUAGCCCAGUUCCUCACAUGAUGUACAUCAUUGCCAGCAAGAAGAAACAACAACAAUCAUCAAAUGCUUUAAUUAUGAAGUUAUUGGGGGAACACAAUAAAGACAAAUGCCAGGCCCCUGGCUCACAUCUUAAACUGCAGAGUAGAACCCAGAUUCAGAUUAUGCAAAACUAUAGAUCAGUCUGACAAUGGAAACAAAAUCUCCUCCCUGACUUAAAGCUCUUGGGUACGACGGGGUGGGGGGUGGGGGCGGAAAGUAGCUGCUGAAUGACCAUUAAACUGCCCAUGGAUCAAGACACAAAGAAAUCUGAAGCUCCAGUCUUAGAAAUCCUUGUUAGUUGCCUUCCUAUAUUUUAUUUUUACUUUGGUUUCCAGAAUGGAAACAUUUCCUUUUUGUGGAAAGGUUGUUUUGUUGUUGUUGUUUUGGGUUUUGUUUUGUUUUUUUCCCCAGAUGACUGAAAUUAACCUAAGAGGUUCCCCAGUGAAAGGCUCAGGGACAGCCCUCUCCCUCAAAUGCCCAGCUUUGUCACUAUGAAGACUGUUUGUAGUGAACAGCCAGUCGACAAGAGGCAAUUAUCAUGAGACUAUGGCAGUGAUUUGGAACACGAGCUUACAGGGAGGUCUUUGUUCUUGAAAACAUACAGCUUGUUGAAAUCGUAUUUCAGUCAUCAAGAUACUGGAGGUCUUCUCUCAUCCUCUCCCAGGGGCAGGCCUACCUAGUGUGGUUUUCACUGGAGUCCUCUUGAGGUAGAUGUAGGUAAAAAGCUAAUUGAUGUUUAAUUUUCUUGAGCCUCAUUUUAUGCAGGUGGAAAUGUCUUACAGUGACUUUAAUAUGAUUGUCAUGUUUUAAAAUGUAGCAAUGUUCUUGGAGAGAAAAAUUGCCAUUCAAAGCCGGCAGGUAGUGUUUAGUCUCUUUAAUUUGGCACAAUAUGAAUAUUGUGUCUCCCAUUGUUAUGGCAACACAGGAUAAAAAAUUAAGAUAUUAAUAUUAAAAAUAAUUAUCCAAGGAUCUUAAUUAAGUGCUGGUGAUGCUGUGGAAAUUGGAAAGUGUUUUUUAAAUGCCGACUGACAUUUAUUGUUAUUUUUAAGUUAAUUUAUUUAUUUUGUGAGAGAGAAAGCAAGAGUGAGCAUGGGGAUCAGGCAGAGCGAUAGGGAGAGAGAGAAUCCCAAGCAGGUUCCAGCUGUCAUGACCCAGAACUCAGUCCCACGAAAUGUGAGAUCGUGACCUGAGCCGAAAUCAAGCUCUUAACCAACUAAGCCACCCAGGCGCCCCAGAAAAAAUGAGAACUUUUAUACAUUUUAUAUGUUGUUGAUGAGAAUGUCAAAUGUUACAGCCACUUUGGAAAAUAGUCUAGCGGUUUCUCAAAAGGUUAAACAUAAUUACGAUACAAUCCAAUAGUUCCAUUCCUAGGUGUAUACACAAGAUUAAGUUGAAAACAUGUUCACAGAAACUUGGACAUGAAUGUUCAUAGUAUUACUCGUAACAGCCCCAAACAGAAAUAACCAAAAUGUUUGUCAACUGACGAGCUAUAAAGAAAAUGUAUAUUCAUAUCAUGGGAUAUUAUUCAGCAAUAAAAAUAAAUGAAGUGCUGACACAUGCUACAACUUGGAUGAACCUUGAAAAUAUGAUGCCAAGUCAAAGCAGUCCCAAAGGACCAGACAUUGUUAUUCCAUUUAUACAAAACGUCCAGAAUAGGCAAAUUUAGAGAGACAAAAAGCAGAUUGGUGGUUACCAAGGUUAGAGGUGGACAAGGGGAGAUUGGAGGCUAGAUCGGUAAGAUGGGAUUUUUUUGGGGGGGGGGGGGUGGGUAAUGAAAUGCAGUGAUGGAUGCACAGCCCUGUAAAUAAACUAAAAGUCACUGAAUUGCAAACUUUAAAUGGGUAAAUUGUAUGAUAUGUAAAUUACAUCUCCAUAAAGCUGUUUAUUAAAAGAACACCCAGGGGUGCCUGGGUGGCUCAGCUGGUUCAGAGUUCGACUCCUGAUUUUAGCUCAGGUCAUGAUCCCAAGGUCGUGGUAUCAAGUCCUGCAUCAGGCUCUGGGAUUGAGCCCCAUGUCAGGCUCCAUGCUGAGCAUAAAGCCUGCUUAAUAUUCUCGCCCCCUUCCCUUCUGCUCCUUUCCCCUGCUCAUGCAUGCAUGCUCUUUCUUGAAAGAAAGAAAGAAAGAAAGAAAGAAAGAAAGAAAGAAAGAAAGAAAGAAAGAAAGAAAGAAAGAAAGAAAGAAAGAAAGAAAAGAAAACCCAAAUGUAACAAUUCAAGCAUAUUCAAAGACUUAAAAAUAAAAUUUCAGAAAAAAUAAGGCUUAGUAUCUAAUGGAAAAGGUUACCGUAAAAUUACUUAGAAUCAUCUAUUCUGGUAUAUUAUCUUGAAUUACAAAGUAUGUUCCACCACUGACAUAAAUGUAAUUUUUAUACACCCAGUCAACUAAUUUAGUUAUCAACUGCAACAAGUUAUCCCCAGAAAGAAAUACUACUUAGAGGUCCACAUUCUAUGGGUUUUUAUUGUCAUUCAUUCAUAGAUCCCCAGUGCCAAUUCUCAAAUGGCAUUUCCCCACAUUCUUCAGGAAUGUGACUUCUAACAUUUAAUAAAAAAUAACCAUAUUCAAACACAAUUUCCAAAUACUGCAAACAUCUUGUUGUCAUUCUGUACUUCAAGAGACAGGUCAAUACUGACCUUGGUACACUUUCAACUUAACUGAAAUGAAAGGUAUUGUCUUUUGCUUUUCUGUUGCUAAAACAGGCAGCCAGAGGUAGCAAAGUGGGUAAAACUUGGAAGGUAGAGGCAUUAAGAGGAUGACAGCAUAGGUUGCCUCCGAAAAGAUGAUCUGUUUGGCCCAGGAAGUGAGGAAAUUUGGCCCAGGAAGUGAAGAAAUGAGAACUGGCCAGAAACCUACAAAUGCAGACCUUUUGAACAACUCAGAGCAGAGGGUUUUACUGGUUUCCAUACCUGUCACUCAAACUCCCCUGCUUGCACUCUCUUUCUUUUUUUUUUUUUUUUUUUUCCAACGUUUUUUAUUUAUUUUUGGGACAGAGCGAGACAGAGCAUGAACGGGGGAGGGGCAGAGAGAGAGGGAGACACAGAAUCGGAAACAGGCUCCAGGCUCUGGGCCAUCAGCCCAGAGCCCGACGCGGGGCUCGAACCCACGGACCGUGAGAUCGUGACCUGGCUGAAGUCGGACGCUUAACCGACUGCGCCACCCAGGCGCCCCAUGCACUCUCUUUCAAAAUAAACAAACAUUUCAAAAAAUGCAUAAAUACUAAUAUGAACCAUAUGAAAGUGAUGUUUUUAUGGGUCAAGACAAUUAAGUAUCGGCAAUUUCCUAUGUUUCAACCUAAGUCACCCAUCACGCAGGUUAAGAAACAGAACGUUACCCAGUUAAAACUAUCACACUCCCCUCCUUCCUUCCAUUUGAGGUGAUUGCUCCCUUGAACUUGUCGAUCAUUCUCGUGCAUUUUUUUGUGUGCACAUUUCUAAAACUUAACCACUUGUCAGGUCCUUAAAGGUUUAUAUGCCUCUUAUAUGGUGACAUCAAGCUAUAUGUAUUCUGCUACUUGCAUUCUUUGCUCAUUUUCAUUGAUGUAUUUUACUAUACACAUGAACAAUUUAACAACUUUUUCUGUUGGACAUUUAGUUAGCAAUUUUACUAUUACAAAGAACACUAUCACUUUCCUGAAUAUAUCCCCUUGGGUGAAUCGGCAGCACAUUUUAAAUUUUGCAUUCUCUGAUCCUAGGAACGUUAGGCAUUUCCCCCUACAUUUUACUGAACUUUUCUCUUAUGUGAAUUGGCUACAUUCUUUACUUUUCUAUUGGACUGUCUCCCUUACUAAUUUCAAGGAGGAUUUUAUAGAUAUUAAUCCUUUAUUGGUCAUAUGCUUUGCAAGUAUCUUUUCCCAGUCAGUGGACUGCCGAAACACUUUUACAACAGCUUUAUAAUAUAUCUCAGUGGUUGGCAAACUACAGCCCGUGAGCCAAAUCCAGCCCUCUGCCCAUUUUUCUUAAAGUUUUGUUGGAACACAACCAUGCCCAUUCAUUCACCUAUUGCCUAUAGCUGUAUAGUUGAGACAGAGACCAUAUGGCCCUCAAAGCCUAGAAUGUUAACUAUCUGGCCCUUUACAGAUAAAGUUCAGUAACUCCUGGUCUAUUUCUUCAAGUAAUUUACUUAACUGUUCCUCUAAUUUUAUACAUACAGGGCUUCCUUUUCAAUUAAAAAAUUAAUAUGAUGAACAUCUUUAUGACUAAAUGUCAACUUUUUUUCCUUGGGGCUUUCAAAUGGAAUCCUGGAUCAAAGUCAGAAAGAAAAUGUAAGGCUUCUGAGAUAACUUCACGACUUGCUUAAAGUUUUUCAAUUUCCUUCCCAUGACUAUUAGACACACUCUUCUACCUUCCCAGCAAUGAGCACUAUUACAAAAUUAUUUGAUCAAAAAUGAAAUCUGGCUGAAAAUUACAUGAGUACCAAGAUAAUUUCCUCUUAUUUAAUAUUUUAUAUUUGGUAUCUAAUAAGGUUAAGUUCUCCCAUUCUUUCCAUUUUUCCCCCCUAGAAAAAUGAUGUAUCUCCUACAGCCUCUUCAUUCUUCAAAAUGAACAUGAGAAUCAAUACACUAAUCAAGAACAAAGGUUCUUGGACAGACUUGCAUCUAAAUUCCAACUCUACUGUUAAAAACCAUGGGACUUUAACCUAAAUGUAAGACAGUAAGCCAUCAAAAUCCUCGAGGAGAAAGCAGGCAAAAACCUCUUUGAUCUUGGCUGCAGCAACUUCUUACUCAACACGUCUCCAGAGGCAAGGGAAACAAAAGCAAAAAUGAACUAUUGGGACCUUACCAAAAUAAAGCUUCUGCACAGAAAAGGAAACAAUCAGCAAAACUAAAAGGCAACCGAUGGAAUCGUAGAGAUAUUUGCAAAUGACAUAUCAGAUAAAGGGUUAAUAUCCAAAAUCUACAGAGAUCAAACUCAACACCCAAAAAACAAAUAAUCCAGUGAAGAAAUGGGCAGAAAUGGACAUCAAUAGACGCUUCUCCAAAGAACACAUCCAGGUGGCCAAUCAACACCAU